GAAAUUCUACGUUUUGAAGGAUUUGUAAGAAAUAUUUGAGGAAACUGACUUAUGUUAAACACUAAGUCUGUUUCCUCAAACAUUUCUUACAAAUCCUUCAAAACUUAGAAUUUU
rnacentral:miRNA from 1 species